rnacentral:rRNA from 1 species
AGUAAUGUCUGGGAAACUGCCCGAUGGAGGGGGAUAACACUUGGAAACAGGUGCUAAUACCGUAUAACAAUCGAAACCGCAUGGUUUCGGUUUGAAAGGCGCUUUUGCGUCACUGAUGGAUGGACCCGCGGUGCAUUAGCUAGUUGGUGAGGUAACGGCUCACCAAGGCAACGAUGCAUAGCCGACCUGAGAGGGUGAUCGGCCACAUUGGGACUGAGACACGGCCCAG